GGGGAAUAUUGCGCAAUGGGGGGAACCCUGACGCAGCCAUGCCGCGUGAAUGAAGGAGGCCUUAGGGUUGUAAAGUUCUUUCGGUAUUGAGGAAGGUUGAUGUGUUAAUAGCACAUCAAAUUGACGUUAAAUACAGAAGAAGCACCGGCUAACUCCGUGCCAGCAGCCGCGGUAAUACGGAGGGUGCGAGCGUUAAUCGGAAUAACUGGGCGUAAAGGGCACGCAGGCGGUUAUUUAAGUGAGGUGUGAAAGCCCUGGGCUUAACCUAGGAAUUGCAUUUCAGACUGGGUAACUAGAGUACUUUAGGGAGGGGUAGAAUUCCACGUGUAGCGGUGAAAUGCGUAGAGAUGUGGAGGAAUACCGAAGGCGAAGGCAGCCCCUUGGGAAUGUACUGACGCUCAUGUGCGAAAGCGUGGGGAGCAAACAGGAUUAGAUACCCUGGUAGUCCGCGCUGUAAACGCUGUCGAUUUGGGGGUUGGGGUUUAACUCUGGCGCCCGUAGCUAACGUGAUAAAUCGACCGCCUGGGGAGUACGGCCGCAAGGUUA
rnacentral:rRNA from 1 species